rnacentral:lncRNA from 1 species
CCCUCUGAAUCCUGAGUUUAAAAGGCUUGUCAUGUGAACUGUGUGGGCAGUGUUCCCUCCUCUGUUCUCCAUGUCCUUUGGGAGUGGAGAAGGACAAUUAUUGUAUCCCUGAUAUGAUUCCACCAAAAUAGUGAGUGAUCUUUGGGUUCCUUUCUUUCUGUUUUUCUGCUCAGGGCAAUGUUGGUGUUGCCCCUGAUUCUUCAGGAGGGGAGCCUGUGGACAGAGCUGCAGCAGAGGAAGCUUCAUCUGGCACCAAGAGCUGCAGGAACAGUUCCCAGGAGCCUGAGGAGCCUGAUGCCAUCUGACCAACAUCUCCAGGAGGGUUGCCCUGCAUGGCAGGAAGAGACAGGGGAGAGCCUGUGACCAUCAGGCAGUGCCCCCUGUGUCCCCUGUCCCUGUGCUGGGUCCGAGCUGGCGGCCGGGCCGGGCGGAGCAGCACUUCCAGCCCCGGCUGUCCCUGGANAUUACAGAUUUUGGGGCAGGAUGUUGAAGCACUACAAGAUAGCCUUGUAGACAUAAACAUGAAGGU